GUAGGGUGCGAGCGUUAAUCGGAAUUACUGGGCGUAAAGCGCACGUAGGCGGCUUGGUAUGUUGGGUGUGAAAUCCCCGGGCUCAACCUGGGAACUGCAUCCGAAACUGCCUUGCUCGAGUAUGGGAGAGGGAAGUGGAAUUUCCGGUGUAGCGGUGAAAUGCGUAGAUAUCGGAAGGAACAUACAGUGGCGAAGGCGACUUUCCUGGACCAAUACUGACGCUCAGGUGCGAAAGCGUGGGGAGCAAACAGGAUUAGAUACCCUGGUAGUCCACGCCCUAAACGAUGAGAACUGGAUGUCGGGAGGGUUUGCCUUCCGGUGUCGUAGCUAACGCGUUAAGUUCUCCGCCUGGGAAGUACGGCCGCAAGGUUG
rnacentral:rRNA from 1 species